UACAGAGGUCCCGAGCGUUGUUCGGAUUCAUUGGGCGUAAAGGGUGUGUAGGAGGUUUGGUAAGUCAGGCGUGAAAUCUCACCGCUCAACGGUGAAACUGCGCUCGAUACUGCCGAGCUAGAGGAUCGGAGGGGGAAGCGGAAUUCUUGGUGUAGCAGUGAAAUGCGUAGAUAUCAAGAGGAACACCGGUGGCGAAGGCGGCUUCCUGGAAGAUUCCUGACUCUGAAACACGAAAGCUAGGGGAGCAAACGGG
rnacentral:rRNA from 1 species